rnacentral:rRNA from 1 species
CCUACGGGAGACAGCAGUGGGGAAUAUUACACAAUGGGGGAAACCCUGAUGCAGCGACGCCGCGUGGGUGAAGAAGUUUUUCGGUAUGUAAAGCCCUAUCAGCAGGGAAGAUAAUGACGGUAUCUGAUUAAGAAGCCCCGGCUAACUACGUGCCAGCAGCCGCGGUAAUACGUAGGGGGCAAGCGUUAUCCGGAUUUACUGGGUGGAAAGGGCGCGUAGGCGGCAGCACAAGUCUGGAGUGAAAUGCCAGGGCUUAACCCCGGAACUGCUUUGGAAACUGUGCAGCUAGAGUACGGGAGAGGUAGGUGGAAUUCCUGGUGUAGCGGUAAAAUGCGUAGAUAUUAAGAGGAACACCAGUUGCGAAGGCGACUUGCUAGACUAUAACUGACGUUGAGGCGCGAAAGCGUGGGGAGCAAACAGGAUUAGAUACCCUGGUAGUC